AUACGGAGGGGGCUAGCGUUGUUCGGAAUUACUGGGCGUAAAGCGUACGUAGGCGGACUGAUCAGUUGGGGGUGAAAUCCCAGGGCUUAACCCUGGAACUGCCUUCAAUACUGUCAGUCUUGAGAUUGGAGGAGGUGAGUGGAAUUCCUAGUGUAGAGGUGAAAUUCAUAGAUAUUAGGAGGAACACCAGUGGCGAAGGCGGCUCACUGGUCCAAUACUGACGCUGAGGUACGAAAGCGUGGGGAGCAAACAGGAUUAGAAACCCUAGUAGUCC
rnacentral:rRNA from 1 species